rnacentral:rRNA from 1 species
CUAGCAUAUCAAUAAGCGGAGGAAAAAGAAAAUAACAAUGAUUCCCCAGUAACGGCGAGUGAACAGGGAAAAGCUCAAAGUUGGAAGCUCCUGGCCCUAGGCUAGGCGCAUUGUAAACUAAAGCUGUAAAGUAGUUCGGUUUGGCCUGGUAAAAAAGUUCCCUGGAAUGGGGCGACAUGGAGGGUGAAAUCCCCGUCUUUGGCCAGAGUUCAGCCGUGCGUUUGCUUUGCUGCGAAGAGUCAGGUUGUUUGGGAAUGCAGCCUAAAAUGGGAGGUAGACUUCUCCUAAAGCUAAAUAUUGACGAAAGACCGAUAGCGAACAAGUACCGUGAGGGAAAGAUGAAAAGCACUUUGAAAAGAGGGUCAAAAAGUACGUGAAAUUGCUGAAAGGGAACCGUAUGAAAUCAGCCUGAUGUGUGGGUAAUCAGCCUGGGCUUUGGCCUGGGUGCACUUGCCCAUGUAUUAGCCUGCGACAGUUUGACCUGGGGGAAAAAAGAUGGGGGAAUGUGGCCUCGGCUUCGGUCGUGGUGUUAUAGCCCCUGUCAAAAUACCUUGGGUUGGACUGAGGACUGCAGCGAGCCGUAAGGCAUGGGUCUCGGGCGCUCUGUCUCGGCGAAAAGUGAAUCUCUGCUUCGGGUGGUGCGCUUUUCUUCAGGGCAGACUCGCCUGUUUCUUCUUUCUCUCGCUUAGGUCGUAGGCAUAAUGAUUUUAUAUGACCCGUCUUGAAACACGGACCAAGGAGUCCACCAUAGUUGCGAGUCUUUGAGUGUAAAAACCCAUGGGCGUAAGGAAACUGACCAAGAUAUGAAGGCCUUUUUGGCUGGCAAUAUCCUCCGGGCGAGGACGUUUUUAUACUGAAUUGACCGAGAAGAAAGCACCUUAUGAUGGGACCCGAAAGAUGGGUGAACUAUACUUGAAUAGGGGUGAAGCCAGAGGAAACGCUGGUGGAAGCUCGUAGCGAUUCUGACGUGCAAAUCGAUCGUCAAAUUUGAGUAUAGGGGCGAAAGACUAAU